AGCAGCCACCUUUUAAAACGCGUCAAAGCGUAAUCUUAACCCCCAAAAUACCGCUAAUUUUCAUGAACCCCUAAUUUAUAAUGAAUGACUCCAUAUUUAUAUGGAAGACACCAUGCUAGGAUUAGUAACAAGAAUUUAUAAUUCUCCAAAAUGCAAAUAUAAACCAACAUGGAUGGACCAUUGGUAGUUACCGAACCUAAAUUCAAUGCAAUAACACCCACAAGAAAACUCUGCAGUACUCACUCGUUAACCUAACACCAGCGCAUUACAGGAAAGAUUUAAAAAAAGAGAAGGAAUUCGGCAAAUGACGGCCCCGCCUGUUUACCAAAAACAUCGCCUCUUGACUUAUAAUAAGAGGUCUAGCCUGCCCAGUGAAUUUUAAACGGCCGCGGUAUCCUAACCGCGCGAAGGUAGCAUAAUCACUUGUUCUUUAAAUGGGGACUCGUAUCAACGGCAUCACGAGGGUUUUACUGUCUCCUCUUUUUGAUCAGUGAAAUUGAUCUUCCCGUGAAGAAGCGGGAAUAAAUUUAUAAGACGAGAAGACCCCAUGGAGCUUUAAACCAAAUAACAACUUAACCACUCACCCCAUAAUAAAUUUAAGCCCUGUUAUAAGGUUUUUGGUUGGGGUGACCGCGGAGUAAAGCAUAUCCUCCACGACGGAAAGAACAGAAUCUUUAUUUAAGAACCACACUUCUAGAAAUUAGUAUACUAACGUUUACUGACCCGAUAAUCGAUCAACGGACCAAGUUACCCUGGGGAUAACAGCGCAAUCUACUUCAAGAGCUCAUAUCGACAAGUAGGCUUACGACCUCGAUGUUGGAUCAGGGUAUCCCGGUGGUGCAGCCGCUACCGAAGGUUCGUUUGUUCAACGAUUAAAACCCUACGUGAUCUG
rnacentral:rRNA from 1 species